GACGGAGGAUGCAAGCGUUAUCCGGAAUUAUUGGGCGUAAAGCGUCCGCAGGUGGCUGUUCAAGUCUGCUGUCAAAGCGCAGAGCUUAACUCUGUGCAGGCGGUGGAAACUGAAGAGCUAGAGUAUGGUAGGGGUAGAGGGAAUUCCCGGUGUAGCGGUGAAAUGCGUAGAUAUCGGGAAGAACACCAGUGGCGAAAGCGCUCUACUGGGCCAUAACUGACACUGAGGGACGAAAGCUAGGGGAGCGAAAGGG
rnacentral:rRNA from 1 species